AGAGUUUGAUCAUGGCUCAGGACAAACGCUGGCGGCGUGCCUAAGACAUGCAAGUCGGACGGAAGCGCAAGCUUCAGUGGCGGACGGGUGAGGAACGCGUGGAGAACCUGCCCCGGGGUGGGGGAUACCCGCCAGAAAUGGCGGCUAAGACCGCAUACGAUCCCCCUGGCGAUGGUCAGGGGAGGAAAACCUUCGGGUGC
rnacentral:rRNA from 1 species